rnacentral:ncRNA from 1 species
UAAUGUGGAGAGAUUUGAUUGCUUGCAACCACUCUAAAAAAUGCUAAAAUAUAAA